rnacentral:lncRNA from 1 species
UGAAAAUUUUUUGGAUGACUGGCAGGUCUGAACGAUGCUAGCACCAGAGAUGGUACGUAGCUGAUUAACCUAUGUUAUGUGGUUUACUCGAACAUUAAAGGGAAGAGUGAGGAAAAGCUUACCACGAUUAUUCCAUGGUGGGUGCAUGUUGUCUUCUAUUGUCUAACAAUAACACAAUAUUAUAUAUGAUUACAUGCUUUGAUGCAUAAUUUAUGGAUAAACGGUAUGGAGAACUUUGUCCCAGGUGACAAAGCCAAAUUAGA